rfam:Corchorus olitorius cultivar O-4 contig11159, whole genome shotgun sequence.
GCAUCCAUGUCUGAAUGGUUAAAGCGCCCAACCUAUACCAACAAGGAUAAAAGGGCAAAUUCGUAGUUUCAAUUCCUACUGGAUGCA